rnacentral:rRNA from 1 species
AUUGAACGCUGGCGGCAUGCUUUACACAUGCAAGUCGAACGGUAACAGGCCUUCGGGUGCUGACGAGUGGCGAACGGGUGAGUAAUGCAUCGGAACGUGCCCAGAGGUGGGGGAUAACGCAGCGAAAGCUGUGCUAAUACCGCAUGUGAUCUGAGGAUGAAAGCGGGGGACCAGGCAGCAAUGGUUGGCCUCGCGCCUUUGGAGCGGCCGAUGUCAGAUUAGGUAGUUGGUGGGGUAAAGGCCUACCAAGCCGACGAUCUGUAGCUGGUCUGAGAGGACGACCAGCCACACUGGGACUGAGACACGGCCCAGACUCCUACGGGAGGCAGCAGUGGGGAAUUUUGGACAAUGGGCGCAAGCCUGAUCCAGCAAUGCCGCGUGCGGGAAGAAGGCCUUCGGGUUGUAAACCGCUUUUGUACGGAACGAAAAGGCUCUGGCUAAUACCUGGGGCUGAUGACGGUACCGUAAGAAUAAGCACCGGCUAACUACGUG